UAGGGAAUCUUCGGCAAUGGACGAAAGUCUGACCGAGCAACGCCGCGUGAGUGAAGAAGGCCUUCGGAUCGUAAAACUCUGUUGUUAGAGAAGAACAAGUACGUUAGUAACUGAACGUCCCCUGACGGUAUCUAACCAGAAAGCCACGGCUAACUACGUGCCAGCAGCCGCGGUAAUACGUAGGUGGCAAGCGUUGUCCGGAUCUAUUGGGCGUAAAGCGAGCGCAGGCGGUUUCUUAAGUCUGCUGUGAAAGCCCCCGGCUCAACCGGGGUGGAUCAUUAGCAACUGGGGGCCGUGAGUGCAGAAGAGGAGAGUGGAAUUCCAUGUGUGGCGGUGAAAUGCGUAGAUAUAUGGAGGAACACAAGUCGCGAAGGCGGCUCUAUGGUCUGUAUCUGACAAAGAGGCUAGAAAGGGAGGGGAGCAAACAGG
rnacentral:rRNA from 1 species